rnacentral:lncRNA from 1 species
ACAAAAAUCAGCAUUUUACUUUUUUUUUCUUCUUUUUUUUUGUGUGUUAACAGGCCAUUUUCUGUAAGCCCAAAAGGCCAAAAACACAUGACCAUUCUUUAAAAAAUAUGUUUGGCCCAAAAUUAUAAAACCAAAAUAACCGAGUAGCAAUAACCGAAAUAACCGUGUCCGAACAGAACCGAAAUUGUAUUCGGUUUAGUUCGAA